UACGUAGGGGGGCGAGCGUUGUCCGGAUUUAUUGGGCGUAAAGAGCGUGUAGGCGGUCAGGUAGGUCGGUUGUGAAAACUGGAGGCUCAACCUUCAGAGGUCGACCGAAACCCCCUGGCUAGAGUCCGGGAGAGGAGAGUGGAAUUCCUGGUGUAGCGGUGAAAUGCGCAGAUAUCAGGAAGAACACCCGUGGCGAAAGCGGCUCUCUGGAACGGUACUGACGCUGAGGUGCGAAAGCGUGGGGAGCAAACAGG
rnacentral:rRNA from 1 species